GUAGUCCACGCCCUAAACGAUGUCUACUAGUUGUUGGGUUGGAAACGACUUGGUAACGAAGCUAACGCGUGAAGUAGACCGCCUGGGGAGUACGGUCGCAAGAUUAAAACUCAAAGGAAUUGACGGGGACCCGCACAAGCGGUGGAUGAUGUGGAUUAAUUCGAUGCAACGCGAAAAACCUUACCUACCCUUGACAUGUUCGGAAUCCUGCUGAAAAGUAGGAGUGCUCGAAAGAGAACCGGAACACAGGUGCUGCAUGGCUGUCGUCAGCUCGUGUCGUGAGAUGUUGGGUUAAGUCCCGCAACGAGCGCAACCCUUGUCAUUAGUUGCUACAUUUAGUUGGGCACUCUAAUGAGACUGCCGGUGACAAACCGGA
rnacentral:rRNA from 1 species